GUGAAAUUGAACUCGCUGUGAAGAUGCAGUGUACCCGCGGCAAGACGGAAAGACCCCGUGAACCUUUACUAUAGCUUGACACUGAACAUUGAGCCUUGAUGUGUAGGAUAGGUGGGAGGCUUUGAAGUGUGGACGCCAGUCUGCAUGGAGCCGACCUUGAAAUACCACCCUUUAAUGUUUGAUGUUCUAACGUUGACCCGUAAUCCGGGUUGCGGACAGUGUCUGGUGGGUAGUUUGACUGGGGCGGUCUCCUCCUAAAGAGUAACGGAGGAGCACGAAGGUUGGCUAAUCCUGGUCGGACAUCAGGAGGUUAGUGCAAUGGCAUAAGCCAGCUUGACUGCGAGCGUGACGGCGCGAGCAGGUGCGAAAGCAGGUCAUAGUGAUCCGGUGGUUCUGAAUGGAAGGGCCAUCGCUCAACGGAUAAAAGGUACUCCGGGGAUAACAGGCUGAUACCGCCCAAGAGUUCAUAUCGACGGCGGUGUUUGGCACCUCGAUGUCGGCUCAUCACAUCCUGGGGCUGAAGUAGGUCCCAAGGGUAUGGCUGUUCGCCAUUUAAAGUGGUACGCGAGCUGGGUUUAGAACGUCGUGAGACAGUUCGGUCCCUAUCUGCCGUGGGCGCUGGAGAACUGAGGGGGGCUGCUCCUAGUACGAGAGGACCGGAGUGGACGCAUCACUGGUGUUCGGGUUGUCAUGCCAAUGGCACUGCCCGGUAGCUAAAUGCGGAAGAGAUAAGUGCUGAAAGCAUCUAAGCACGAAACUUGCCCCGAGAUGAGUUCUCCCUGACUCCUUGAGAGUCCUGAAGGAACGUUGAAGACGACGACGUUGAUAGGCCGGGUGUGUAAGCGCAGCGAUGCGUUGAGCUAACCGGUACUAAUGAACCGUGAGG
rnacentral:rRNA from 1 species